UUUCCUACGGGAGGCAGCAGUGGGGAAUAUUGGGCAAUGGGCGCAAGCCUGACCCAGCAACGCCGCGUGAAGGAAGAAGGCUUUCGGGUUGUAAACUUCUUUUCUCAGGGACGAAGCAAGUGACGGUACCUGAGGAAUAAGCCACGGCUAACUACGUGCCAGCAGCCGCGGUAAUACGUAGGUGGCAAGCGUUAUCCGGAUUUACUGGGUGUAAAGGGCGUGUAGGCGGGACUGCAAGUCAGAUGUGAAAAUUAUGGGCUCAACCCAUAACCUGCCUUUGAAACUGUAGUUCUUG
rnacentral:rRNA from 1 species